ACUGGGCAUGGUGGUGUGCACCGGUAGUCUCAGCUACUUGGGAGGCUGAUGCAGGAGGAUUGCCUUAGUCCAGUAGCUCUCAGCUGUAGUGCACUAUGCCGAUCAGGUGUCCAUGCUAAGUUACGCAUCAAUGUGGUGACGUCCCAGGAGCAGGGGACCACCAGGUUGCCUAAGGAGCGGUGAAUCAGCCCAGGUUAGAAACGGAGUAGGUCAAAACUCCCAUGCUUAGGCCAGACAUUGUAGCUCACACUGGUAAUCCCAGCACUUUGGGAGGUCGAAGAGGGCAGAUCACCUGAGGCC
rnacentral:SRP_RNA from 1 species